rnacentral:rRNA from 1 species
UACGUAGGGGGCAAGCGUUGUCCGGAAUCAUUGGGCGUAAAGCGCGUGUAGGCGGCUCGGUAAGUCUGCUCUGAAAGCCUGGGGCUCAACCCUGGGAGGCGGGUGGAUACUGCUGAGCUCGAGUCCGGAAGAGGCGAGUGGAAUUCCUGGUGUAGCGGUGAAAUGCGCAGAUAUCAGGAGGAACACCGGUGGCGAAGGCGGCCUGCUGGGCUGUUGCUGACGCUGAGGCGCGACAGCGUGGGGAGCAAACAGG